AGAUUCAAAUAUAAAGGGAAAGGGCCCAUGAAUCCCCCUUUUCCAAUCGGUUAAGGGUCUUGGGAUAUUUAGGGUUAAGCGUUCUUGGGUUUGAAUAGUACUAGGUUGGGUGACCUCCUGGGAAGUCCAAAUUCAGGAACUU
rnacentral:rRNA from 1 species